CCCCCGUCAGAUUUGCUCUAAAUGCUUUGGUUUUUGAGUUAUAAGCCAAAAACUGCAUUUUACCCCUAUGUUCUAUUUUUAGCCAUGGCGGCCAUCUUGGUUGGAAUGGCCAGGUCACCGGAUACAUUUUUUAAACUAGAUACCCCAAAGAUGAUUUUGGCCAAGUUUGGAUAAAUUUGGCCCAGUAGUUUCAGAGGAGAAGAUUUUUGUAAAAGUUAACG
rnacentral:lncRNA from 1 species